rnacentral:rRNA from 1 species
UCCUUGUCGGGUAAGUUCCGACCUGCACGAAUGGCGUAACGAUGGCGGCGCUGUCUCCACCCGAGACUCAGUGAAAUUGAAAUCGCUGUGAAGAUGCAGUGUAUCCGCGGCUAGACGGAAAGACCCCGUGAACCUUUACUAUAGCUUUGCACUGGACUUUGAAUUUGCUUGUGUAGGAUAGGUGGGAGGCUUUGAAGCGUGGACGCCAGUCUGCGUGGAGCCUCCCUUGAGAUACCACCCUUGUUCUGCUUGAUGUCUAACCGCGGUCCGUUAUCCGGAUCCGGGACCCUGUGUGGUGGGUAGUUUGACUGGGGCGGUCUCCUCCCAAAGCGUAACGGAGGAGCACAAAGGUGGGCUAAG